GAUGAACGCUGGCGGCGUGCCUAAUACAUGCAAGUCGAGCGAACAGACGAGGAGCUUGCUCCUCUGACGUUAGCGGCGGACGGGUGAGUAACACGUGGAUAACCUACCUAUAAGACUGGGAUAACUUCGGGAGACCGGAGCUAAUACCGGAUAAUAUAUUGAACCGCAUGGUUCAAUAGUGAAAGACGGUUUUGCUGUCACUUAUAGAUGGAUCCGCGCCGCAUUAGCUAGUUGGUAAGGUAACGGCUUACCAAGGCAACGAUGCGUAGCCGACCUGAGAGGGUGAUCGGCCACACUGGAACUGAGACACGGUCCAGACUCCUACGGGAGGCAGCAGUAGGGAAUCUUCCGCAAUGGGCGAAAGCCUGACGGAGCAACGCCGUGUGAGUGAUGAAGGUCUUCGGAUCGUAAAACUCUGUUAUUAGGGAAGAACAAAUGUGUAAGUAACUAUGCACGUCUUGACGGUACCUAAUCAGAAAGCCACGGCUAACUACGUG
rnacentral:rRNA from 1 species